rnacentral:misc_RNA from 1 species
UUUGCUUGCGCAACAACUUCCAUCCUUCAUUCCUCUUCAGUUGUUUGUUAAGGCUUUGUUUCCUUGGCAGACCGUUGGGUUUCCUGUGUUGUCUACCUACACUAUGGUAUUGUAUUGGUUGAUCGUUGACAUUUUUCGUCCUCUAUCAUUCUUAUGAUAAAGGAUGAACCUCGAAGCCGUCUCUUUGUUCCACAUUGUCGAUGCAUGCGUUGAUGUUGUGGCCCAUUGAGUGCUGCUUGGUUUCAUGGACACAGAACAUGAUGUGGGCAUGGGGUUAAUCCUUGUUUUGUCCUCCAAUAGCGUUGCGCUACUCCUUUAAUGACCUUCCUUAUUUCGUGACCGUAUAUCGGGCGAGUCUGGUCUGUUAUUUUACGAGGAAACGUAACGUGCAUUCCUCUAAGCGACUACCUUCGCCCGUAAGGCUUCGAUCUGCGGGGUAGGUAUUGUCAAUUAUGAAUGCUACCUGGUUGAUCCU